rnacentral:rRNA from 1 species
UCAGUCGACUCCUACGGGGAGGCAGCAGUGGGGGAAUUUUGGGACAAUGGGCGCAAGCCUGAUCCAGCAAUGCCGCGUGAGUGAAGAAGGCCUUCGGGUUGUAAAGCUCUUUGUCAGGGAAGAAACGGUGGGAGCUAAUAUCUCCUGCUAAUGACGGUACCUGAAGAUAAGCACCGGCUAACUACGUGCCAGCAGCCGCGGUAAUACGUAGGGUGCAAGCGUUAAUCGGAAUUACUGGGCGUAAAGCGUGCGCAGGCGGUUUUGUAAGUCUGAUGUGAAAUCCCCGGGGCUCAACCUGGGAAUUGCAUUGGAGACUGCAAGGCUAGAAUCUGGCAGAGGGGGGUAGGAAUUCCACGUGUAGCAGUGAAAUGCGUAGAUAUGUGGAGGAACACCGAUGGCGAAGGCAGCCCCCUGGGUCAAGAUUGACGCUCAUGCACGAAAGCGUGGGGAGCAAACAGGAUUAGAUACCCUGGUAG